CCCUUAGAUGUUCUGGGCCGCACGCGCGCUACACUGACGAAUGCAACGAGCUUAUAACCUUGGCCGAAAGGUCUGGGUAAUCUCCAAAUUUCGUCGUGAUGGGGAUAGAUUAUUGCAAUUAUUAAUCUUCAACGAGGAAUGCCCAGUAAGCGCAAGUCAUCAGCUUGCGUUGAUUACGUCCCUGCCCUUUGUACACACCGCCCGUCGCUCCUACCGAUUGAAUGGUCCGGUGAAGCGUUCGGACCGUGGCCUUUGGACGGUUCGCCGUCUGUUGGCUGCGGGAAGUUCGUUAAACCUUAUCAUUUAGAGGAAGGAGAAGUCGUAACA
rnacentral:rRNA from 1 species